GGAACACAUUCUCCCUCUGAACCCUCAGAAGGAACCAACACUGCCGACAUUUUGAUUCCGGACUUCUGACCUCCAGAACAAGAACCCAGACUAGCCCCAGCACUCCAGGCAAUCACCACCAAACAAUGAGAGUUGGCACAGGAUACAAGACUUCUGUCCUUCUAUGACAUGGAUUUCUUCAGCAUCCAGGUGUGCAGGGUUUCUGAGCCAGGAGCAGUUGAGGAGUGGGAAGAACAUCUGGAAAGACUGGGAGUAAGGACG